rnacentral:rRNA from 1 species
CCUACGGGUGGCUGCAGUGAGGGAUAUUGCACAAUGGUGGAAACCCUGAUGCAGCGACGCCGCGUGUGGGAGGACGGUCCUCUGGAUUGUAAACCACUGUUGCCAGGGACGAAGAUGACGGUACCUUGGGAGGAAGCUCGGGCGAACUACGUGCCAGCAGCCGCGGUAAUUCGGAGGGAGCGAGCGUUGUCCGGAAUUACUGGGUGUAAGGGGAGCGUAGGCGGGCCUGAAAGUUGGGUGUAAAAUCUACCGGCUCAACCGGUAGCCGCACUCAAAACUGCAGUUCUUGAGUGAAGUAGAGGCAGGCGGAAUUCCUAGUGUAGCGGUGAAAUGCGUAGAUAUUAGGAGGAACACCAGUGGCGAAGGCGGCCUGCUGGGCUUUUACUGACGCUGAGGCUCGAAAGUGUGGGGAGCAAACAGGAUUAGAUACCCUUGUAGUC